CACGUAGGGGGCGAGCGUUAUCCGGAUUCAUUGGGCGUAAAGCGCGCGCAGGCGGCCGGCUAAGCGGGACCUCUAAUCCCGGGGCUCAACCCCGGGCCGGGUCCCGGACUGGCCGGCUCGCGUCCGGUAGGGGGAGGCGGAAUACCCGGUGUAGCGGUGGAAUGCGCAGAUAUCGGGUAGAACACCGACGGCGAAGGCAGCCUCCUGGGCCGCGACGGACGCUGAGGCGCGAAAGCCGGGGGAGCGAACA
rnacentral:rRNA from 1 species